rnacentral:rRNA from 1 species
UGGCGGACGGGUGAGUAAUGUCUGGGAAACUGCCUGAUGGAGGGGGAUAACUACUGGAAACGGUAGCUAAUACCGCAUAACGUCGCAAGACCAAAGAGGGGGACCUUCGGGCCUCUUGCCAUCGGAUGUGCCCAGAUGGGAUUAGCUAGUAGGUGGGGUAACGGCUCACCUAGGCGACGAUCCCUAGCUGGUCUGAGAGGAUGACCAGCCACACUGGAACUGAGACACGGUCCAGACUCCUACGGGAGGCAGCAGUGGGGAAUAUUGCACAAUGGGCGCAAGCCUGAUGCAGCCAUGCCGCGUGUAUGAAGAAGGCCUUCGGGUUGUAAAGUACUUUCAGCGGGGAGGAAGGGAGUAAAGUUAAUACCUUUGCUCAUUGACGUUACCCGCAGAAGAAGCACCGGCUAACUCCGUGCCAGCAGCCGCGGUAAUACGGAGGGUGCAAGCGUUAAUCGGAAUUACUGGGCGUAAAGCGCACGCAGGCGGUUUGUUAAGUCAGAUGUGAAAUCCCCGGGCUCAACCUGGGAACUGCAUCUGAUACUGGCAAGCUUGAGUCUCGUAGAGGGGGGUAGAAUUCCAGGUGUAGCGGUGAAAUGCGUAGAGAUCUGGAGGAUACCGUGGCGAAGCGCCCCUGGACGACGACUGACGCUCACGUGCGAAGCGUGGGUAGCAAACAGGAAUAGAU